UGUUUUUUUUUUUUUUUUUUUUUUUUUUUUUUUUUUUUUUUUUUUUUUUUUUUAAACUCUCCUGUGGACACAUUUGGGGGGCAGGUUGAGCCAGAAUGCCCUAUCAGCUUGUAUGCUGGUCAGGUUGAGAUCAGCCAAACUCUGAGCCAUGUGAAGCAAGUGUGUGUGUGGGGUACACUGAUUUGGCGGAAGGGAAGGUGCCUGGAGCAGGGACUCCUUUUCACCUGUGCUUGCUCUCUUGACAGCUGCUUGUGCUGUUCUUUUCAGCCAAGAGAAAGAAUUGAGCUAAAAGGCAGAGACAGCCCUGCUUUCAGUGUAUGCCUCCCCUAGCUGGCCAUCAGGUCAGGCAGUGCACUUAGCAGGGCUGAAACAGUUGUAUUUUGCUAAAUAAAACUCUGACAGGAAACAGAAGAGAGUGUUUGUUUUGUUU
rnacentral:lncRNA from 1 species